AGUGUGAAAACUAUGCGUCAUACCGCAAAAGGCCGGAGGGUAUUGUUACCAUGUUAGAGAAUCCACGAUAACAUCUGUCCACUUCAGGCAGCCUGCUGUUACGAUAGCGAUAAGAUUGGACAUCUGGCAUCAAUUUGGAAAGCAAAGACAAUGUGACUCCAGCAGCAGAUUGCAGUCCAGGGUUUGCUGAGAGGCAAGGAAAUAUACCAAUGCUUCAGAACGCAGGCACAAGAAACUGCAGUCGCUGGGAACUGGAACAAAAGCAAACUGCUGGAAGAGCUCAGCCAGUCAAGCAGCAUCUGUGGAGGCAGAGAACUUGUCAACACUUCGAGUCAAGGAUCUGCAUCAAGACCAGGGGGAAGACAGCGUGUACAUACAAGUGGUGGACGUUUAACAUGAAGAUACCAAUCAAAUGAUCAUUUGUCCUGCAUCGUAUUGAGCUGGUAUUUUUUGAAGAUUCACUCAUCUAGACUUCCUAUUACAGUUCUUUAACUCUCCGAACAGCAUUCUAUUGCACUGCAGUCGGUGUCUUGUGGUUAAUGAAGACGAGACAUUCACAAAAAAAUAUCAAACCUCUGACCAAAUAUACAAGUGGAUGAUCCAUUGAAUUUAUGUGGCUAUUUCUCGUCAAACGUGACCCACUCAGAAUUUUGUUGAAGUGGCACAUUGUCUAUAGGGGAGAUGUGUAGAUGCUGUGAUUACAAGUAUCCAUUGCCUGACACAUGGCAUAAGAAUAUUACUUGCUUUUUAUGUAAAGAGCUACAAAAGUCCAACAUGAUUCAGAUAUAGUACAGUACAGCAUAACAGGCCAUUCAGCCCUGGAUGACUGUGUUGAAUAUAAUGCCAAUUUAAACAAAUUCCUUUUUGCUUGGACCCGACAUAUAUCCCUCCCUAUUUAUGUGCUUACAUAAAACACCUUGAUAAUGCCAA